UCCGAUAUGGUGUAGUGGCUAACAUUAUCGCCUCUCAUAUAUGUGAACGCGAUAGCCCGGGGUUCGAUUCCCCGUGUCGGAA
rnacentral:tRNA from 1 species